rnacentral:rRNA from 1 species
UACGUAGGGUGCGAGCGUUGUCCGGAAUUAUUGGGCGGAAAGAGCUCGUAGGCGGUGUGUCGCGUCGGCCGUGAAAACCUGCAGCUUAACUGUGGGCUUGCGGUCGAUACGGGCAUCACUGGAGUUCGGCAGGGGAGACUGGAAUUCCUGGUGUAGCGGUGAAAUGCGCAGAUAUCAGGAGGAACACCGGUGGCGAAGGCGGGUCUCUGGGCCGAUACUGACGCUGAGGAGCGAAAGCGUGGGGAGCGAACAGG